CAAGUAUGAUCUAACAUCAUCCCUGAAAGCACCUGCAGAAGGAGGGUAGGAAUUUCCUACCAGGGUCAAGUCAAUUGCAGUGGAGACCUUGAUUUUAUCUUGAAGACCAGCUGAUCUUAUAGCAUCAUGUAUAUUUCUCAUGGCAGGCAAAACAAAUUGGGCCAACCAAGCUGUGCCUCCAUUUACAGGACUAAUUUCGUUGCCAACUGCUAUAUAUCUGAACCUGACACUUGACCAGAAGCCACGAACAUUUUUUUGUACCCAUGAGUUUGCAUUGGAAGGAUUGGUAAGGCUUUGGAGAUCUGA
rnacentral:misc_RNA from 1 species